rnacentral:other from 1 species
CUUUACUGCCGUCCAGGCAGCUUAGAAA